AUUGAACGCUGGCGGCAUGCCUUACACAUGCAAGUCGAACGGUAACGGGUCCUUCGGGAUGCCGACGAGUGGCGAACGGGUGAGUAAUAUAUCGGAACGUGCCCAGUAGUGGGGGAUAACUGCUCGAAAGAGCAGCUAAUACCGCAUACGACCUGAGGGUGAAAGGGGGGGAUCGCAAGACCUCUCGCUAUUGGAGCGGCCGAUAUCAGAUUAGCUAGUUGGUGGGGGAAAGGCCUACCAAGGCAACGAUCUGUAGUUGGUCUGAGAGGACGACCAGCCACACUGGGACUGAGACACGGCCCAGACUCCUACGGGAGGCAGCAGUGGGGAAUUUUGGACAAUGGGCGCAAGCCUGAUCCAGCAAUGCCGCGUGCAGGAAGAAGGCCUUCGGGUUGUAAACUGCUUUUGUCAGGGAAGAAAUCUUCUGGGCUAAUACCCCGGGAGGAUGACGGUACCUGAAGAAUAAGCACCGGCUAACUACGUGCCAGCCGCCGCGGUAAGAC
rnacentral:rRNA from 1 species